rnacentral:rRNA from 1 species
GUUUGGGAUUUUAAAUCCUGUAAAUAGGGACGGCGGCGACGACGUCGUGAGUAGAGGGUGGAGCCCUAGGUAGGGGUAGGUUAGUCGCGUACGCAGGGGUUAGGUUUAAGGAAGCUGGAGGAGACGAAGCUAGGGACUCGAGGUAUCGGUGGAGGUGUGCGGGGAGCGGGCGCGCGUGGGCUCCGGAACGGAGGAGGAACAGCGGACGAGGAGGGGCUACAACGACGGAUCGACCUCGAGGAGAUAGCGGCCGCUGAUCGUCAACUCGGGGCGAUGGGACGGAGAGACAAAGGAAGAGGAAGGGAAGGAAGGAGAAGAGACGAGGGAGUGGAGAGUGGAGAGACAGGUCCUCGUGGCUGCAAGCGUCGGCGUCGGGGCUCGCGGAGGAGAUGGAGCUGCGGUUCGGAGGAGGGACGGGAGCUCAGGCAGGUCUAGGCGGUUCAAGGCGGCAGGCGGUACCGCACCUCGAGCAGUCGCAACAGGAGCGGACGUAGGUGGAAGCGCGGCACUGGACGCGCUGGGGCGUCUGGCCGAGGGGGCAGUUCCGGGCGCAGCAGCAGGUCCUGGGGUGGCCGGUGGUUCUGGGCAACUAGACGGAACGCAGAGUGGGCCUGCAGGGGCGUAGCAGAUACGUCGGUGGACGUAGCUCGGGGCACGACGAGCAGAAGGAGUGCCUGCAGACGCAAACGGAGACGGGAACAGCUAGAGCACGUGUUCGACCCACUCUUGAGGGCUCGGAGGAGGGCGAGGUAAGCGAGAGAAAGCGACUAGCAUCAACGGCAUCAACGUGCGUAGCUGUGUUGGCUCCGGCAGGAACAAAGACAACUAGAGGCGGUCCAAGCGAGGUGGACAGACAUGUGCCGGCUGGUCCCUAGUUUAGGGGUGCCCGCGUUAAAAGAAAACUCGUUAAAAAAACGGAGUGGUUCUUGUUUGGUAACGAAGUCAGGGUGAACCUAGCGUUCGUAGAAUGGUCGGGUUGACCAGUGGAGUUGCGUGUUUGUGAUCCUACAGGAUCCUAGCUUAGGGUCCCUAGGGGUAAAGAAAAAGGGGAUCAAUAAAAAAAAGGUCAGUACGUGAGUCGGUGAACCCGGGCUAAGGUGGGAACCCGGUGACGUAUCGUAACGUUAGGCCGGGCGCAAAAAAGUUAGAGUCUAAAAAAAAGACAUAAAAGUCACGUACGUAUUAAUGUCUUUUACGGUCACGUAAUUCUACGAUUAUUGAUUUAUAGGUACGUAGGUUUACUUUGUUCAGUAUAUACGUAGAACGAGUAUAAAAGUACAAGAGAUUGUCAUACGUUGAAAGUAGGUACAAAUUUUACGAAUUUUACAACAAACCAAUUUAAACGAGUAUACUGUACGAUUUUACGAAAUAAAGUAUUGAUUAAUUGGUAUCGAGGUUUAAAUAAUUUGAAAUACACAUUUACCCCGUCUUUUUACGUAUCUAAUUGUGCCACAUGAAUGAAACGUACAAAUUGUUGGGAUUUUAAUACAAAUCCCGUCUUGUCAUGGUUUAAGUUUUAUACGUAUACUCCUAAAAGGCCUUAAAACCAAACAAUAAAGGCUGGAGUAAAUUUAACGGUUCUAUCCAUCAAAAUAAUACAAGGUGGAGAACGGUAGAAUUGGUUGUAAAUUAUAACUACUCAUCGUAUUUGCUCUCUCUUGAUUUAUUAAUUACACAACAAAGCAGUUAUACUUUGAGCAACGUAUAACUCGAGGUGAAUUGAACAUCAUAACAAACAACGUGAACGGUACGGUACGGAAAAAUUUGGUCUGUACGUAGUAUGAACUAACACGUAGUACGGUACAAAUACACUACCAACAAAUGGUACAACGAAUGAAGAAAGGUCAAAAGAAGAGAGUAAUCGAAAACAAAGCAAGGCCUCAACCCUCCUAAGCAAGCUGAUGCAGGCAAAACAGAAGAAGUACCUGAGGAAGAAGAAGGAACGCCCUAGAGUUCGUUCUACUGGUAUGGGAGCUGUACUGAAGAUAGAAACGAACGAUCAACAAAAGAGAUAGCGAUACAGCGUGAUGGAUGGUGAACAAAUAGAUUGGAGGGUUUGACGGUACUAUCGGAGAUUGGAAAAAGUUGGUAGAAUCGUUUGGCAACAAACCGAUUCAAUGGCGAAAACGAAUCGGGAAGGAUAUCGUAACGAUCAACAUCCACUUCAACUUCUAACAAGGUACAACCUUGUACCUAUACAAACCUAUAGUGUUAUAGAGAAUAAAUUAAUUACGUAGAUAUAUGAACCAUUUCCCACCUGCCGAGCCGGAAGAAGGACCACAAAACAAGGUGAGAACGACGGGAUAAAAGGCAGUAUGGCCACAAUACAAGGAACUAAAAACUCAAGGAACUCUUGCUCUAUACACGUAGAGGAUAGCCCUAAACAGCCGUGUAAGCCCGCCGAAAAGACCAGAACAAAAUGGUAACAGCUUUACAGAACAUUGGUCCUAAGACUCUGACUAGCCCAGAAAGGCCCUCUUCCUUAUAGGAAGUAAUUGGCACUCUCGAACACUACCCGAUUCAAGCUUGUGGGGACGUCCCAAAUUUGAAAGCUUUCGGCACGGGUGCCAAUACAACUUCUACCCUUAAACAAUUACAAGCCAACAUCUCUUGAACUGUGAAUUGAAUUAAUUUUACGUAGUUGGCGCACACAUCGGCACUACCAGAGAAAGACCGCCUCAGGCCCUUCACUUGUGCCAGAACACAAUACGAACUUACAUUCAUCAAAAUCCUAGUCAAGAGCUAGUGAAGAUCGAAGUGCUGGCAACGCAUCGAAGAGUAGAAUGAUAAUAAACGCAUACAAUCGGUAGUAUAAACGAAUAGCGAACGACGUCGAGGUGGAGUGAUGGAAUAGGAUAGGUAUUCGAAUUUAUCAGAACUAGAGCGCCCGCACUCUAACAACACAGGAGCACUGAGUGCCCAUGAAGGUUUAUCAACAUCCACGGCUACUAUGGUCACGUCCACUGUGUUGGCUCGAGUUCACCCUCGAGCUACUUCUAGAACUAGCAACAAUACACAGAAAAGGCCAACUAGUCAUCACCUCGGGUCAACCCAGCUAGUCCCUAGAUCGUAAACCCCAACAGAAGAAAAUAAAACCAAAGCAUCAACCUGGAACUAACAUGAGACCUACUACAUACAAAUUGAACAAUAAACACACUUCACCGCUAAUAUUCGGUUGAGAAAUAGGG